GACGAACGCUGACGGCGUGCUUAACACAUGCAAGUCGAAGGGAGUGGCGAACGGGUGGGUAACACGUGAGUAACCUGGCCUUUUCUUUGGGAUAAGCCUGGGAAACUGGGUCUAAUACUGGAUGGAUUGGGAUGGGCUCGCGUCUUAUUAGCUUGUUGGUGGGGUGAAGGCUUACCAAGGCUUUGACGGGUAGCAGGGCUGAGAGGGUGGUCAGUCACACGGGGACUGAGAUACGGCCCAGACUCCUACGGGAGGCAGCAGUGGGGAAUAUUGCACAAUGGACGAAAGUCUGAUGCAGCCAUGCCGCGUGUGUGAAGAAGGUCUUCGGGUUGUAAAGUACUUUCAGUGGGGAGGCGUUACCCGCAGAAGAAGCACCGGCUAACUCCGUGCCAGCCGCCGCGGUAAUUC
rnacentral:rRNA from 1 species